rnacentral:tRNA from 1 species
GCGUCGGUAGUCCAACGGCAGGAGACGUCAGUCUUAGAAACUGAACAGUGCGAGUUCGAAUCUCGCUCGGCGCAC